UGGGGAGUACGGUCGCAAGAUUAAAACUCAAAGGAAUUGACGGGGACCCGCACAAGCGGUGGAUGAUGUGGAUUAAUUCGAUGCAACGCGAAAAACCUUACCUACCCUUGACAUGGCAGGAAUCCCGAAGAGAUUUGGGAGUGCUCGAAAGAGAACCUGCACACAGGUGCUGCAUGGCUGUCGUCAGCUCGUGUCGUGAGAUGUUGGGUUAAGUCCCGCAACGAGCGCAACCCUUGUCAUUAGUUGCUACGAAAG
rnacentral:rRNA from 1 species